rnacentral:rRNA from 1 species
CCUACGGGAGGCUGCAGUGGGGAAUAUUGGACAAUGGGCGAAAGCCUGAUCCAGCCAUGCCGCGUGUGUGAAGAAGGCCUUCGGGUUGUAAAGCACUUUCAGUGGGGAAGAAAGCCUUGGGGCUAAUACCCUCGAGGAAGGACAUCACCCACAGAAGAAGCACCGGCUAACUCCGUGCCAGCAGCCGCGGUAAUACGGAGGGUGCGAGCGUUAAUCGGAAUUACUGGGCGUAAAGCGCGCGUAGGCGGUCUGAUAAGCCGGUUGUGAAAGCCCCGGGCUCAACCUGGGAACGGCAUCCGGAACUGGCAGGCGAGAGUGCAGGAGAGGAAGGUGGAAUUCCCGGUGUAGCGGUGAAAUGCGUAGAGAUCGGGAGGAAUUCCAGUGGCGAAGGCGGCCAUCUGGACUGGCACUGACGCUGAGGUGCGAAAGCGUGGGUAGCAAACAGGAUUAGAUACCCCAGUAGUC